GUGUCAGCAGCCGCGGUAAUACGGAGGGGGUUAGCGUUGUUCGGAAUUACUGGGCGUAAAGCGUACGUAGGCGGAUUAGUCAGUUAGGGGUGAAAUCCCAGGGCUCAACCCUGGAACUGCCUCUAAUACUGCUAGUCUUGAGUUCGAGAGAGGUGAGUGGAAUUCCGAGUGUAGAGGUGAAAUUCGUAGAUAUUCGGAGGAACAUCAGUGGCGAAGGCGGCUCACUGGCUCGAUACUGACGCUGAGGUACGAAAGUGUGGGGAGCAAACAGGAUUAGAUACCCUGGUAGUCCACACCGUAAACGAUGAAUGCCAGACGUCGGGUAGCAUGCUAUUCGGUGUCACACCUAACGGAUUAAGCAUUCCGCCUGGGGAGUACGGUCGCAAGAUUAAAACUUAAAUGAAUUGACGGGG
rnacentral:rRNA from 1 species